rnacentral:misc_RNA from 1 species
AUUUUGGCUUACUACAAGUCAGAGCCACUGGCAAGCAAGCGUCAUACACGCAGCCAUUAGCCGACCAGUCAUGCCUAUGGCAAAUGACGAAUGUCUCGGUUCAUUUUAAGUGCACUUGCGUAUUGAUUCUUAUGGCUGCUAUGGGCAAUGCACGUCCAAUCUAAGGCGAGUACUGAAAGAACUGAAAAGCUAACCCUAGAGGAUAACACAGGCGAAAAAAACAACAUCCUCUUCAUGUCAAAGACACUUAUUUUCCUUAGCAUCUAAAACAGAUAACAGGGAUUGCUAUUUUGAUUGUUGUCUUAAGUUGAGGCAAGGAACAGUCUCGUUAACAUGAGUCCUGGUUUCAUAUGAAUGUAUCGUAUAGCUUAACUACAUAGUUCUUUAAACAAGGAGCUAAACUCUGAGUUCAGUGAGCAAGGAAUGAUAAAUAACGAAAAAAUGUGAUCACUCGAAUACUACUACAAAAAUGAGCAGAAAGAUUAGACCGUGCUUGCAUUUCAAACUCAUAAGAAAUUGAAAUUUGCUCCUCACCCCUGAGGUCGGGAUCAUAUCAGCUUCUUUUGUCCAUAAUUGCAUGAGAUCAGAAGAGGCCAGGAAGACCACAAUAGUUCUCAUAAAUGAACUCCAUUAUGAAUAGUCAUAUGCAAAUUUCCCACAUUCCUGUCCAAUAUCCUAAGGACAUGAUUGCAAGCUCCCAAAGCAUGUGGGGAAUGCUUAAUAGAUUCACCUUGGAUCCAGGAAUUUCAGACCAGUUUACAGAAAUUUCAAGCAUGGGGAUACUGAAACGUUUGCAUAGAUAAACGAUCUCAACAUCAAAGCACCAUCUGCACAAUAGUCCAAUUUCUUUAAACAUCAGUGCACAUAAUAAAUUCAAAGCAAAUAAACCAGUGAAUACAGCAUAGGACAACAAAGACGGACGAUACUAUUAUCAGACUUAACCAGCAAACUUGUGUCACUUUUACUUUCAACUAAAAGACUAAUCUAAGUUCGCCAGCAUUUGCCUUUUGGAUUUGUCUAAGUGCAUAUUUAGAAUGCAUUCACAUGAAAAAAAAAUUUGAUCUAAGUCGACUGCUUCCUAUAUGUGUUUAAUUGAUAAACUAGUCGUUUUGCUUGCUCAACACAGAUUAUUUAUUAUUUUAUUUUAAU